CUCAACCUGGGAACUGCAUUUGAAACUGGCGAGCUAGAGUUGAGUAGAGGUAAGUGGAAUUUCAGGUGUAGCGGUGAAAUGCGUAGAUAUCUGAAGGAACACCAGUGGCGAAGGCGACUUACUGGACUCAAACUGACGCUGAGGUACGAAAGCGUGGGUAGCAAACAGGAUUAGAUACCCUGGUAGUCCACGCUGUAAACGAUGUCAACUAGCCGUUGGUUCUAUAUACAGAAUUAGUGGCGCAGCUAACGCAUUAAGUUGACCGCCUGGGGAGUACGGCCGCAAGGUUAAAACUCAAAUGAAUUGACGGGGGCCCGCACAAGCGGUGGAGCAUGUGGGUUUAAUUCGAUGCAACGCGAAGAACCUUACCUACCCUUGACAUCCAGAGAAUCUGUUAGAGAUAGUGGAGUGCCUUCGGGAAACUCUGAGACAGGUGCUGCAUGGCUGUCGUCAGCUCGUGUCGUGAGAUGUGGGGUUAAGUCCCGUAACGAGCGCAACCCUUAUCCUUAGUUGCCAGCGAG
rnacentral:rRNA from 1 species